GCCUGGGUGGCUCAGUCGGUGAAGCGUCCGACUUCGGCUCAGGUCAUGAUCUCACGGUUUGUGGGUUCGAGCCCCGCGUCGGGCU
rnacentral:tRNA from 1 species